GAUCCCAUUCCGAACUCAGCAGUUAAGCCCGUCAGCGUCGAUGGUAGUGAGGGUCUAACCCUCGCAAGAGUAGACCGAUGCCAGGA
rnacentral:rRNA from 1 species